CGCCAAGCUCUCCAGGUUGGGUUCUGUCUCUCGUGUCCACUCGGAGGCCGCCUCCCUCCGACCGGACCGGCAGGACCGAGCCGAGCCGCGGGGUCCCCUCCGGCCCGGCCAUGAGUGCGGCCGCAUGAUGCGUCCCUGCCUCGGCCGCUGCAGUCGCCGCCGCCGCCGCCGCAGGCCGGGAGGAGCCGCAGCGCCGGGCGACCCCGCCCGGGCCUCGGAUCCUAUCACAUAGGAUAGUAUGCACCUUAAGAUCCUGAAGAAAAGGCACAAAAUGUUCAAGUAAUGUCUAAAAGUAACUUGUGAGGGAAGCCAUGCCGUCAUCAGGACACCGGCUCCGGGAUGUCGAACAUCAUCCCCUGCUGACCGAAAGUGACAACUACGACUCUUCUUCCUCCUCUUCAUCCGAGGCCGACGUGGCAGACAGGGUCUGGUUCAUCCGCGACGGCUGUGGCAUGAUCUGUGCUGUCGUGACGUGGCUGCUGGUCGUGUAUGCGGACUUCGUGGUGACGUUCGUCAUGCUGCUGCCUUCCAAAGACUUCUGGUACUCCGUGGUCAAUGGAGUCGUUUUUAACUGCCUGGCGGUGCUUGCCCUGUCGUCUCACUUGAGGACCAUGCUCACCGACCCCGGGGCAGUACCCAAAGGGAAUGCUACUAAAGAGUACAUGGAGAGUUUGCAGCUGAAGCCUGGAGAAGUGAUCUACAAGUGCCCCAAGUGCUGCUGUGUCAAGCCCGAGCGCGCCCACCACUGCAGUAUUUGCAAAAGAUGUAUUCGGAAAAUGGAUCAUCACUGCCCUUGGGUGAACAAUUGUGUCGGAGAAAAGAAUCAGAGAUUUUUCGUGCUCUUCACUAUGUACAUCGCGCUGGCGUCCGUGCACGCGCUCGUGCUCUGCGGGCUGCAGUUCGUCGCCUGCGUCCGAGGGCAGUGGAAUGAAUGCAGUGAUUUUUCACCUCCAGUCACUGUAAUCCUGUUGAUCUUCCUGUGCCUUGAGGGUCUGCUGUUUUUCACUUUCACCGCAGUGAUGUUCGGCACCCAGAUCCACUCCAUAUGCAACGAUGAAACGGAGAUUGAGAGGCUGAAGAGUGAGAAGCCGACGUGGGAGCGGAGGCUGCGGUGGGAGGGGAUGAAGUCUGUCUUUGGGGGCCCCCCCUCGCUGCUCUGGAUGAACCCCUGCGUCGGCUUCCGAUUCAGGCGACUGCCGACGAGACCUAGGAAAGGGGGCCCCGAGUUCUCGGUGUGAGGCUCUCGCAUCAUGCUGGGACUUGUUCACGGACUUUAUUUAUUUGGGGUCGGAAAGGGUAUCGACAGCUCACCUGCGACCAGUAGGGCAAGUGCAGACCAGUUGCUUGCAGCAAGCAGAGUUUUAUCCGUUUACGGUCACAGAUGGCGGAGUUCCCACACUAACUGGGUGGCGCUCUGAUCCGUGUCACCGUCCAGUAACAAAGGGACGUGGCCGCACGAAGAAGCCAAAUGUCAUUAUCUUCCUGCACAGUUAGGAGUUUUGUUAACAUACUUGGCAUUCUUUAAGAAGUUUUGUGGGUUGUUACACGGGUUAUUAAAAUCCUGUGUGCUGAGCUGCUUUUCUCAGGCAUGAAGAAAACGAGCCAAGCCAGUGACCAGGGAUUAUUCUGCGGCUGGUGGCUUCGGGGAGCUCCGCCGGCCCCGUGAUUCCCGAGGGCCCGCCUCGGUCCAGGAGGGGCCUGGAUGCAGGAGCCGCAGGCGCUGCAGUUAUAGGUCUGUGCAGACUUAAUAAAACUAGAGAUGAAAAACUAGACAUUAUAACCGAUGCCAGAGGAAGAAGAAUGGUCACAAGAGACCACUACGAACAAUUACGGGCCGGCAAACUGGAUAACCCAGAAGAAGAGGAUCAAUUCCUAGAAUCAGAAACUUACCAAGACUAAAUCACGAAGAAACAGCACACCACUUGAAAACGCCAGCCGAGGACAUUGUGUGGAACGAGUCAGGAAGGGAGAAAUGAAGGCUCCUACCCAGCCCCAGACCAAGGGUGACGAGCUGCUGCAGACCACGUGGACCUCCCGGAGCUUUAAAGAUGGCGCCACAGGAACGGUGACCUGGUUGCAGGUCACAUGGUCACCACACAUUUUCCAAGUAACAAACACAGCAACUCCGGGUAAGACUAAACAGCGGCAGGAAUCAGCGAUGACGUCAUUUAAUUCCAACUCAUGAAACUUGGUGUUGCCACCGUUAUGCCGUCUCCCUUCCUGUGGCAUCAGCCCAUUGUUCCUAAAAAUUUCUGGCCCAUUUUCUUGUCAUCUCCUCUCUCCACCCAAGCGGGCAACAGACACUUGGCUCUAUGGCUGUGAUUUUUUUUCCAGUGCUGGAACAUCCCAAAGAAGCACGACUUUGAAGGCUGACUGGAGAUGAGCUGGGAGCAAGCACUUACAUUUACUUGGGUCCCUAAAGCCCCCAGCUUCUUCUCAAGAGUCGUUUACACACGAGGACCCACAGAAGUGAACGCCCUGCAAGGCCUUCUUCUCGUGAGGACAUCACCGUGUUGUCCAAAUACAUCCAACAUUUUACACACUGACACCUUAAUGAACACACAAAUUCCCUGCAUCCGAGUAAAAUGUAGAUUCUGAUUCAGCAGGUCCUGGGCACGGCCUGAGACUCUGCAUUUCUAACCAACUCCUGGUGGUGCUGUUGCUGCUGGCCCAUGGCCCACACUUUGAGUAGCAAAGUCUAGAUGCCAGCCAACAUGGGACGCGUUAAUUACCCUAUGGUAGCUGCGCAGUCAAAGUAUUAACCAUUUGGCAACGUUGAAACAUACUUCGCUUGUGCGGGCGAAGAGGACAACCCUCGCUUACACUCCUAUGUCAGGAUGACAUGCACGGGCACACACGCACGUCUGUAUAAAGUCGAAACAGGAAGGGAACAGAGCGCAAUGAGAGCAUUUGGAUUUGCUCAGUGACGAGCCUUUCAGAAAAUCUCAAUUUUUAAGUCCUCAUAGGUUUGUACAAUAAACAGGUUUUUUUAAGUACAUGACCCAGAAAGAAGGCUACUGAGUUGAGCCGCUCGCCGUCUACUUUAAAAGGAUGUUUAGAACCGCCUCAUUCUGAGGACUGCCUAUGGCUUAACGAGACAGGCCUGGACGGUGACACGGCUCAUACAGGCUGAAGGAAAAGGCAGGAAAAGGCAGAUUAUUUAAGCAGGCAACGCGUCAGUCGGUGGGGUGGUCCCUUCAGCGGUGUCACGUGGGAGGGGAGAGUCGCAGUGCUGCAGAGCCAGCACCCCGGCUGCUGUUGGGGUUUGGUGAGGCCUGCGGCAGCGCAGGGCGGUCCUCGCUGACCUGCCGCCCUGCAGUGACCCUGGCUGCUUCCCAGCCACCCCGAGGAAGGGGUCACCCAGCUCUGAAGCCACUUCCCCUGAGUGGCAGGCCUGUCUUAAGGCCCGGAGACAUCAUCAACUCAGUGCGGAGGUGGCCAGGGCCCACUUUGAAGGGGACAUGGUCCUUUGGGUACACAAGCUCUGGCUUAUUCGAGACACAGUGUUAUCUUGAGUCCACAGGCGCACCGGCGCACCAGCCCUGAAAUCCUCUCCCCAGCAGGCGCCCGGCAUGGGACGGCCAAGCUCGACGUGCCAUCUAGCCACAGGUCGACAGGCCCGUGGGCACCAGGAAACUGAGGCUCACAGGCAGCAACCAGCCCUCUGACAAACCAGCACCGUCCCCAGGCUGGUAGAACUUGCUUGAGUUCCAAGAAAAGCUCCAAGUGCGAGGUUAAAGAAUAGUAAUGAUCGCCAGGACGCAGUUUUGACGUUUCCGGUUUCCAAAAUGCCUUCCUAUACAUGAUCUGAUUGCAUUUUCCCUACGACCUUCAGGCAGAUAACAGUAUACCCAUUUUAUAGACCAAAAAAACUGAGUUUCGUCCAGGUUACAGGAUGUGCCCAGGUUCUCACAGGUAGGGAGAAAGGAGGGAUUCCCCACGGGCGUUUUGGCUAGAAUAAAAGCACUUU